rnacentral:rRNA from 1 species
AGUCGAGCGGACAGAUGGGAGCUUGCUCCCUGAUGUUAGCGGCGGACGGGUGAGUAACACGUGGGUAACCUGCCUGUAAGACUGGGAUAACUCCGGGAAACCGGGGCUAAUACCGGAUGGUUGUUUGAACCGCAUGGUUCAAACAUAAAAGGUGGCUUCGGCUACCACUUACAGAUGGACCCGCGGCGCAUUAGCUAGUUGGUGAGGUAACGGCUCACCAAGGCAACGAUGCGUAGCCGACCUGAGAGGGUGAUCGGCCACACUGGGACUGAGACACGGCCCAGACUCCUACGGGAGGCAGCAGUAGGGAAUCUUCCGCAAUGGACGAAAGUCUGACGGAGCAACGCCGCGUGAGUGAUGAAGGUUUUCGGAUCGUAAAGCUCUGUUGUUAGGGAAGAACAAGUACCGUUCGAAUAGGGCGGUACCUUGACGGUACCUAACCAGAAAGCCACGGCUAACUACGUGCCAGCAGCCGCGGUAAUACGUAGGUGGCAAGCGUUGUCCGGAAUUAUUGGGCGUAAAGGGCUCGCAGGCGGUUUCUUAAGUCUGAUGUGAAAGCCCCCGGCUCAACCGGGGAGGGUCAUUGGAAACUGGGGAACUUGAGUGCAGAAGAGGAGAGUGGAAUUCCACGUGUAGCGGUGAAAUGCGUAGAGAUGUGGAGGAACACCAGUGGCGAAGGCGACUCUCUGGUCUGUAACUGACGCUGAGGAGCGAAAGCGUGGGGAGCGAACAGGAUUAGAUACCCUGGUAGUCCACGCCGUAAACGAUGAGUGCUAAGUGUUAGGGGGUUUCCGCCCCUUAGUGCUGCAGCUAACGCAUUAAGCACUCCGCCUGGGGAGUACGGUCGCAAGACUGAAACUCAAAGGAAUUUGACGGGGGCCCGCACAAGCGGUG